UAUUUAUUAGAUAACAGACCAAUAUUCCUCGUGUCUAUUGUGGUGACUCAUAGUAACUGAUCGGAUCGCAUGGCCUUGUGCCGCGACUAACCAUUCAAGUUUCUGACCCAUCAGCUUUCGAUGGUAGUGUAUUGGACUACCAUGGCUUUCACGGGUAACGGAGGAUUAGGGUUCGAUUCCGGAGAGGGAGCCUGAGAAACGGCUACCACAUCUAAGGAAGGCAGCAGGCGCGUAAAUUACCCAAUCCUGACUCAGGGAGGUAGUGACAAGAAAUAACGGGUCGGGGCAUUCGCCUCGGGAUUGCAAUGAAUCGAAUUUACACCCCUUAAUGAGGAUCAAUUGGAGGGCAAGUCUGGUGCCAGCAGCCGCGGUAAUUCCAGCUCCAAUAGCGUAUAUUAAAGUUGUUGCAGUUAAAAAGCUCGUAGUUUGAUUUCUGGACGGGCGCCAACACCCGCUUGUUUAGUGUGGAGGCGGCGCCCGCCCAUCCUUCUGUUAACGCCACCGGCAUUCAUUUGCUGGCGGCGGGCUCAGAUAUUUUACCUUGAGAAAAUUAGAGUGUUCAAAGCAGGCCUUUGC
rnacentral:rRNA from 1 species